rnacentral:tRNA from 1 species
GCGGAUAUGGUCAAAUGGGAAAA